rnacentral:rRNA from 1 species
GACGAACGCUGGCGGCGUGCUUAACACAUGCAAGUCGAACGAAGCUUGAUUACGGAUUCUUCGGAUGAAGUAGGAUAUGACUGAGUGGCGGACGGGGGAGUAACGCCUGAGUAACCUGCCCUUCCGAGGGGGAUAGCGUUUUGAAACGAACGGUAAUACUGCACAAUGUAUUUUGACCGCAUGAUCGAAAUACCAUAGCGUUAUCGCAGAAGGAUGGACUCGCGUCUGAUUAGGUAGAUGGAGAGGUAACGGCCUACCAAGAGGACGAUCAGUAGCCGGAGAGAGGGGAUGAGCGGCCGAAUCGGGAGGGAGACACCGGCCAGGAAUCUUCGGGAGUGAGCGGAGGGGUAAAGUGCACAAGAGGCGCAAGUCUGAUGCAGCUACGCCGCGUGAAGGAAGACGGUUUGCGGAUAGUAAACUUCUGUUUUUAGGGAAGAAUAAUGACGGUAGCUAAGGAGAAAGCCACGGCUAACUACGUG